CCUACGGGUGGCUGCAGUGAGGAAUAUUGGUCAAUGGUCGGGAGACUGAACCAGCCAAGCCGCGUGAGUGAAGAAGUAUUUCGGUAUGUAAAGCUCUAUCAGCAGGGAAGAAAAUGACGGUACCUGAUUAAUAAGCCCCGGCUAACUACGUGCCAGCAGCCGCGGUCAUACGUAGGGGGCAAGCGUUAUCCGGAUUUACUGGGUGUAAAGGGAGCGUAGACGGCAGCACAAGUCUGGAGUGAAAUGCCGGGGCUUAACCCCGGAACUGCUUUGGAAACUGUGCAGCUAGAGUGCAGGAGAGGUAAGUGGAAUUCCUAGUGUAGCGGUGAAAUGCGUAGAUAUUAGGAGGAACACCAGUGGCGAAGGCGGCUUACUGGACUGUAACUGACGUUGAGGCUCGAAAGCGUGGGGAGCAAACAGGAUUAGAUACCCCUGUAGUC
rnacentral:rRNA from 1 species